ensembl:lncRNA
UCAUGCUGCUGAAGAUUAAACAUUUCAGAAACAAGAUGAAAGGCCCAGAAGACUUGUCCAAUACAGCGUCUUUCCCGGAGGAAUCUGACUCGACAGAGUUGGAGGAGGUAGAACAGGAGUUAUGUGACCUGGUGGAGAGGGAACAGGAGCUCUUACAGAUACAGAUGGACAACAACGCUGAGACGGAAGUUGAAAACAACCCAUCAUCAGAGAAUGCAGAGGAGCUAACCGCCCCUUAUAACAUAAUGUGUGUCCUACCUGGUAACCCAACAGAAGGAAUGACACAAUGCACAUCGGAGGCUACACCACCUGUCAGAACAGAUCAGCAUAAGAGGCUCACAUGUCAAGGAGUGUAUGUCCUGCCUCAAUGCACCUCACCAGAGAGCAUGCCAUCCCUGGUGCCCACAUCCCACACACAUUCAUCUCAGUCCCCCUCAGUACCCCCAGAGGAUAUAGUGGAUGUGGAGAAACUUCACAAAGUCCCAGCAAUCGUCCAAUGCCCUUUCUGCAAGCAGGUUGUCAGGACAAAAACAUAUCGCAAAAUUGGAGGGGCCG